rnacentral:rRNA from 1 species
UACAGAGGGUGCGAGCGUUAAUCGGAAUUACUGGGCGUAAAGCGCACGUAGGUGGCGACGUAAGUCGGGUGUGAAAGCCCCGGGCUCAACCUGGGAAUUGCAUUCGAGACUGCAUUGCUGGAGUACGGAAGAGGAAGGCGGAAUUCCCGGUGUAGCGGUGAAAUGCGUAGAUAUCUGGAGGAACACCGGUGGCGAAGGCGGCAUCCUGGACCAACACUGACGCUGAGUGAGCGAAAGCCAGGGGAGCAAACGGG